GAUGAACGCUGGCGGCGUGCUUAACACAUGCAAGUCGAACGAUGAAGCCCAGCUUGCUGGGUGGAUUAGUGGCGAACGGGUGAGUAACACGUGAGUAACCUGCCCUUAACUCUGGGAUAAGCCUGGGAAACUGGGUCUAAUACCGGAUAGGAGCGUCCACCGCAUGGUGGGUGUUGGAAAGAUUUAUCGGUUUUGGAUGGACUCGCGGCCUAUCAGCUUGUUGGUGAGGUAAUGGCUCACCAAGGCGACGACGGGUAGCCGGCCUGAGAGGGUGACCGGCCACACUGGGACUGAGAGACGGCCCAGACUCCUACGGGGGGCAGCAGUGGGGAAUAUUGCACAAUGGGCGCAAGCCUGAUGCAGCGACGCCGCGUGAGGGAUGACGGCCUUCGGGUUGUAAACCUCUUUCAGUAGGGAAGAAGCGAAAGUGACGGUACCUGCAGAAGAAGCACCGGCUAACUACGUG
rnacentral:rRNA from 1 species